rnacentral:misc_RNA from 1 species
AGCCAACUUACAAUUGGAGCGGGGUUGCCGAUCGAUCGAACAUGCCUCAGAAGGAACAGUUGGAGCCCGGCACGGCGGACGCGUUCCGGCCGCAGUAGUUGAGCACGAGGGGCACGUCGAGCGGCAGGUUGACGGGGAUGCCGAGCACGUUGAGCCUGAUGGUGGCGCACAGGCAGGCGGCCAGGUCGAGGUUGACGAGGCUGCCCAGCAGCGGGCAGCACCGCUGGCUCUGCGGCACGUUGAUCUUGAGCUUGAGCAGGACCAGCACGUCGGCGCACACCUUGAGGUCCGCCACCGCGUUCGUCGGGCACGGGUUGCCCCGCUGCUGCUGCUGCGCGCGGACGACGACGACGGCGGCCGGGGAGGAGAGCAGCAGCAGCAGGGCCACGGCGAGCAGCGAGGCGAUGCUUUUGGUGGCCAUUGUAUUUGUAUUUGCACGUACGCUUGGUGUACAGGAGCAGCAGCUGCUAUAGUUCUUGCUUCGAGUAGUGCUGUGCCUGUGCGGGCGCUUCUGCCUUCCAGUCUGG